GGGAAUGUGGCUUAGUGGUAGAGCGCUUGCCUUGCAUGCAGGAAGCCCUGGGUUCAAUUCCUCAGCACCA
rnacentral:tRNA from 1 species